CGGACGGGUGAGUAACACGUGGAUAACCUACCUAUAAGACUGGGAUAACUUCGGGAAACCGGAGCUAAUACCGGAUAAUAUUUUGAACCGCAUGGUUCAAAAGUGAAAGACGGUCUUGCUGUCACUUAUAGAUGGAUCCGCGCUGCAUUAGCUAGUUGGUAAGGUAACGGCUUACCAAGGCAACGAUGCAUAGCCGACCUGAGGAGGGUGAUCGGCCACACUGGAACUGAGACACGGUACAG
rnacentral:rRNA from 1 species